GAUGAACGCUAGCUACAGGCUUAACACAUGCAAGUCGAGGGGAAACGAUAUUGGGAAGCUUGCUUCCGAUAGGCGUCGACCGGCGCACGGGUGAGUAACGCGUAUCCAACCUGCCCACCACUUGGGGAUAACCUUGCGAAAGUAAGACUAAUACCCAAUGACGUCUCUAGAAGACAUCUGAAAGAGAUUAAAGAUUUAUCGGUGAUGGAUGGGGAUGCGUCUGAUUAGCUUGUUGGCGGGGUAACGGCCCACCAAGGCAACGAUCAGUAGGGGUUCUGAGAGGAAGGUCCCCCACAUUGGAACUGAGACACGGUCCAAACUCCUACGGGAGGCAGCAGUGAGGAAUAUUGGUCAAUGGGCGAGAGCCUGAACCAGCCAAGUAGCGUGCAGGAUGACGGCCCUAUGGGUUGUAAACUGCUUUUAUAAGGGAAUAAAGUGGGUCACGUGUGACUUUUUGCAUGUACCUUAUGAAUAAGGACCGGCUAAUUCCGUG
rnacentral:rRNA from 1 species